rnacentral:lncRNA from 1 species
UUUUAAAUGUUCAUGCAUCAUGGUCAAACUUAGACGAGUCAGUUAUGUUGUCCGCAUAAUGACCCAUUAUGGCAGCCUAAGCCAAAAGUCCAUCGGGUUUCCUCGAAACCCAAAUUGACAUUCAUGUUAUGUGCAUUGAUUUGUAGAACUAAAUUCCUUCACUUUUGGAAGUUAGGCCGGAUAACAAGAUUGUGGAAGCUGCUACUAUGUUUUGGGAUAGUGAACCGUCCGUCUUCUGCUUUGGGGGUAUUGAAAUGACGCCGCUAUUGGAAGAAAUUGGGGGUCUAGCCGGAAUUCCUUGAGCUUAGGGAAGAAGUUCCCAAAGUUACUAAGCUAGUGGGAUGAACGGUCUGUCUUCCGCUUUGGGGGUAUUGAAAUGACGCCGUUGUUGGAAGAAAUUGGGGGUCUAGCCGGAAUACCUUGGGAUAUCCCGGGGCUGCUUAAGCCGGAAAACCGCAAAGGUAGAGGGUUGCUGAAAAUGAUGGGGCUCAAGAAGAUCAUAAUCUAACCAGUCUCAAGGACUCCUACAUAUCCUUCGACUUCAUGAAAGGUUUGGACAUAGCAAAUCCUACCGCACUCACAUGGACGAGUUCGCCCUCACCUCUUAUAUCCCUCAACUUCAUGUAUUAAAGGUUCGGACAUAACAAAUCUUACCGCACUUACAUGGAUGAGUUCGCCCUCACCUCUUUGGGGCACGUGCAUAGGAGAGCCUUUGUAUUCAUGUUCUGUUUUCUAGGCAUGAUAGUCUUUCCAAUGAAGAAGGCUAGAAUCCACAUGGGACUAGACAAGGUAACCAAAGCCAUAAUGGAAGGUAUCGACGGGCAUACAUUCAGCAUAGCACCCAUGAUCCUCGCCGAACUGUACCGAGCCUUAGAAUAAUGUCAACAAGGGGAACCGCACUUUGAAGGGUGCCAUUUGCUACUACAACUCUGGCUCAUUGAACAUCUUCAUAAAGGAGAUUAUAGACAAGAGAUCAUACGAUGAGAUUGGGAUGACCAUAUCGCUUUCCAUCAUCCAAAGCGAAUGCACUUCAUGUCGAAUAUGUUUACUCACCCAGAAGACGCUAGUGGAUGGGUAGAACUAUUAGAGAAUCUGAGAGAAGAGAAUGUACAAUGUAUGUACAAGUGAUUUCCAACUGGAGAGUUUAUUAUUCGGUCUAGGGAUGCACCAUUCCUUGUACUCAUCGACUUAAGAGGAACUUACCCUUAUGUCCCUCUCCGAGUCAUGAGAAAAGUGGGAAUAAAUCAGAUUAUACCAAGUGUGGAAAAUAUGAGUCACUACAGGGCUGACUUCCAAGAUGAUGAUAGCCCAUACAGGUGUCGGGCUCAGCAUAUGUGGUAUUCUAACUCAUUUUGGAAAAGGAAUCCAUGGAUCCAGACAGGUAUCAGGCGGGGCAUGUGCUGUUUUAUCCGAGGUGGCUAGAAGAUGAUCAUGUUGGAUUGGGAAAAACAGGUUUCUUCCAUGGUCACAGAGUUAUUGAUGAGGAGACAGUAGCAAAGGUCAAGUAUAAUCAGCUACGCAAACGGAUGCAAGAGUGUGAAAGUGAACAUCAGAAAAUGCUAAAGCCCCAAGAGAAGAAAAUCAAUGAGUGGAAGGACAUGGCUGUCCGGGCAAACAAGCGCUUAGGGUACUUGGAGCGGGGUCUAGUGGAGCUGGAAGGCAAGUUUCUGAAAAGGAUCA